AAAUCUUGCCCAAAUCUUGUCAAAAUCUACACAAAAGAUCCUUAAGAUCUCAACAUCUUUUAAAUAGGGCUUAUGGCUUUCUAUUUCUCAUUACACAAAAUAAACACAGACUUUGAGUCUGUACCCUCUAUCUCUCUCGAUCUCUUAUGCAUACACUCACACACAAACAUUCCCUUCAUCUUCCAUCUUUCAAAACCUGCACACCUACAUUAAUUAGGAACAUCACCUUCCCUCUCUGAUAAAACCGCCGGCAACCGGAGCUAAUAUUCCGGCGGUGGAGCCCCCCUUCCAUCUCUAAAACGAUCCGACCCCCCCCCUUCGAUUAUCAGAACGGAUCACCACCACCACCGUCCGGUGGUGGUGCGGCGGCGACAGAACAGAAGAGGAGAGAGAGGAUGGAGAGAGAGAAGCUGAGAAGAGGGAGAGAGAGAGACGGCGGAGGUUGAUGAUGGCGCCGGCGGGUGGUUCGACGACGACGGCAGAGCCGCUGGUCGACGGCGGCGCUGACUCUCCGGCUUGCUUGGUUUUCUGGUGAGGAUCGGCGGCGGCUCGGUUCAGCUUCAGGUCGUCGACACCAAUUUCUGUCCGAAUCAGUCACAGCUCGGGUUCACGGUGAUGUUUAAGUCUCGGGUCAGAAUUCGAGUUCCUGGUCAGCCGCAGAUCGGGACUCAGUUCAGAUUAUUUUGGACUCGGUUCAGCUUCAGAAGCGGUACGGGUUGACUCGGUCAACUCAGCUUACGGGUCAACUCGGUCUGGGUCAACAGUGGUCAACAUAUCAGUUCGGGUGACGUUUCGGGUUCGGGACUCGGUUAGUUCAGCCGCGGUUCGUGGUCCAGUCAAAGUUGGUCAGAGUGGUCAAGACAGUCAACGGUGUGGUUCGGAUCAGUUGGUUCGGGUCAGAUUUGGCUCGGUCAAACUCGGUCAACCGAGUCAACUCAGUUGACCCGGUCAACUCAUUCAACGACUCGACACAAGAAUUGGAAUAUUGUAGAAAGCACGCUAGCGAGUCUCAUUUUGGAAACGACAUCACGGAGUCGUAAUUAGCUAGCUUUACACAUGGAAAUUCAGGUGAGUUCAUAACCCCACCUUUUACGGCUUUACAUUUUUAUAAAUGUUUUCGGGGUGGAAAGACAUGCACGUUUUGCAAAAACAUACAAAGUUUAGAACAAACGCAAAACUCGUAUUUCUAAAUCAUAUUACGAAGGGAUUUCGAGGAACACAAAUGAAUUACGAAAGGUUUAAACAUACCGGUUUUUACAAAAACAAAUGCUUAUUUUCGAAAUGUGAAUGAUAUUCGGCCAGGGUGACCAGGAAUUUGGUCAGGGUGACCAGGGAUUCGGUCAGGGUGACCAGGGAUUUAUUUUACAUAUGGUAUGGUUAGUGUAAAGAGGGUUACUACUUAGAUCAUGUGAGCGGGUAGGCGGGAACUGGAGGCCAUUAAUCCUCAUUGUAGGACUGAGGGACGUAAGCGGUAGAUCUAUCUGGGUGUAGCGAGCCCAACCCCAGGCCCAGCAGAACGGACCUUGGGGUGACUUUGUGCCCAACGCAAAAUCCGCUAGGUUUGAGUCUUCCUACUUGCACUUCACACAUAUCAAUGGCCUUGCAAACCAUUGGUGAUCUCUUUUUCCUUAUCUGCUACAUACCAGAGAUUUUAUACUUACGGAAACUUCUUGUUCAUACAAAUUAACUACCAUGUUUUAUACAAAUUCAAAGAAUUAUGGGGGUAUGGAGUCAAAGUCAGGGUGGGCAUUGACGGUUAUGCGAACAUUACAAAUACAAGGCUUUACAAAUACAUGGUUUUAUGAACAUAACGUGUUACAAACACAACGUUUCCAUAUAACUUGGCAAGAAAAUGAUUUUUAAAUUCAUUUUCUCAAUACUAUUUCAAAAACCGGUUACCAAAGAUUUAUUUCAUACCUUUCACAACUCAAAAGAUUUAUCUCAAAUCUUUUAUGAACAAACUAUGAACUCGCUCAACUUUAUGUUGAUUUUUCGCAUGUUUCUUUCUCAGGUUACUUUUCUAAGACAAGGCAUUGUUGGAAUAGGAGAACCAUGUGGAGUCGGGUACUUAGUGGGCGUUCAUUUUCUAAAAGACUUAGCUUAUUUGCUUCCGCUGUGCAAUGAAGAUACCAGUCCGGUCACGCCAGCUCUGAUGAAUGUUAACAUUCUUUUUUUGCUGCAAAAGUAUUAUCUGAUGUAAAAUUAUUAGCUUCAUAGGUAGGAGGUGAUGUUCAAUAUUACAAUUAAUAGUCUUUAUGUAAUCUGAAUGCAACAAGUUUAAGCUCUGGGUUGAGAAAGUAUAAGCUCAUUAUAUAUCUUUUGUCUUCUUAGAAGUCUUGGCUCAUUGAACAAUUAAGAUAUUUAUGAUACAAACUAUCAUCAAGUUAAGUUUUGUUUUUCCCCGAAAAGUUUUUGAACACAAAAGCACAUAGGUAUUUAGGUUUUCUAGCCAUUGUAGUGUUAGAAUUAAUGAUUUGUAGGUUGAUGGUAUGAUUGAAUGAUUUUUAGGCUGAUAGUGGGAAGCUAGCAGAGUUAGAUGGGUUCACUUAUUCAUGGAGCUAAGGACGUCAGUGCAGAUUGCUUGGGUCAGAUUUCUAAUGUGUAUUGGGUUGUCCCAUAUAUGUGUUUCUUGCCUAUUGUUUCAGGACUCUGCUGGUUAAAUACACCUGCCCACAUCGUCAGCACCGGUUAGUUUCUAAUACUUAUGAAUAGGUUGAUUUGGUCUAUGCAUUAACUUUAAUGGGUCAUAUUUUCUUAGUACAAGGUCUUUAAAUUAGUGUACCCAUUUAUAUGAUGUUUUUUCAUAUAUUAUUAUAGGUUGAUGGUAUGAUUAAAUUUAAAGAAAGUAUGUUAGUUAACUACUCUGUUUAGUUUAUAUAUUUUUUGUAACAAUUUAUUCACAUUAUGUUCUUAUUCAUGAUUCGUAUCAAUAAAUUUCAGUUUUUAUUGCCUUUUUAGCUUGGUUUCUGUUCUAUUCGAUCCGAACAUUAUGACAAAAGAAUCAUAUUCUCAUGUCUUCUUUUUUUAUUCAAAUUUUUUUCAUGUUAGUUUCUAAUUAUUUAACCAGUUUAUAAAUCUUGACUUCAAUUAUUCAUCCAAUUUCUAUAUAAUUAACAGCAACAACACCAAUUAAGCUUUGUAUAACACCAUACUAUGGUUCUCAUGAGUUAAACUUACCUAAAUUGAUUGUGCUAUUCUUUUUUUUUUUUUUUUGUAUUAUCUUAAAGAUAAGGCUCAAUAUACAAAAUCCAAUGUGAGUGCUCUAACUUGAUGUGUACAGAUUGCAUGUCAACUUAAUUGUUAAAUUGAGACGGUAUAUAAGUCUAUUAAAUCAAGAAUAUCAAAUUAGAUCUAAGACUGAAUGGGUCAAAUGGAAUGGGAAUGAAAAGAAAGCGGUAGACUGAGACUUAUAAUGAGAGUAUUUGAUGUUUUGAAUGGAUAAUAUCACAUGAAAAAGAAAAAAUAGUAAUUUGCAUUUGAAUGUGUCGAUUUCUUUAGUUGUAUAAUCAUUGUCUCUGUAUUACAAAAAAUCCAAUCAGCCCUAUUGUUCGGUGUAUAUAAUGUGUUUACUAAUUAAUUUUCAAGUAACUGAUGCAUAGAUUAGCAAAGAGGCAUUGGUGGAUAAUUCAUUAACAAAGGAGGGUGGGCAUGUGCCCACUGGACAACCCAUAAGUUUAGUGGUUGUGGCCCAAGCGCCCAAGCUUUUUUGAAUUGUGCCAAAUUAGUUCCCCCAGUCUCUGCUCAUUCCCUCUUCCCCCUUUGUAUUAGUGAGCAUCACAACUCAGGAGCCAGUCAAGGCACAGCGAUCAUUUUGUUCUGAACAGUGGCUAAGGAUAGUGGUCGUUACUACAUACGGGAAAUUGGGUAAAGCUGGUGUUAUUUGUAAUCAAUUGCUAUUUUGAUUCAGUUCGAGUUAAAAUGGAGAUUGUAUAUGAAAUUGGUUAUAUUAAUAUUCAAAAAAGUCAUGUUAGAUAAGGCUGCUCAACAGGGGUAAAGGAGGAUUAAGAAUAGAGUUUGCAACGAGAUCCAGAGAACACAAACAGGCAUGGCAAGAUAAAAUGGAACCUUUAGCAGUGAGUUAGAGGAAGAGAAUUUGGUAUUGUUGCAAGUAAAGGACACUUUUGUAAGCCCAACUUUUGCGUAGUCUGUUUCAAUAUAUAUAUAAGCGCGACAAUUGUGUAUAUAUAUCAUGCAAUUUCUUAUGUGACGAUGAAUGAAUUAUGUUGAUAUUUAUAUA